rnacentral:rRNA from 1 species
AUUGAACGCUGGCGGCAGGCCUAACACAUGCAAGUCGAGCGGAUGAAGAGAGCUUGCUCUCUGAUUUAGCGGCGGACGGGUGAGUAAUGCCUAGGAAUCUGCAUGGUAGUGGGGGAUAACGUUCCGAAAGGAACGCUAAUACCGCAUACGUCCUACGGGAGAAAGCAGGGGACCUUCGGGCCUUGCGCUAUCAGAUGAGCCUAGGUCGGAUUAGCUAGUUGGUGAGGUAAUGGCUCACCAAGGCGACGAUCCGUAACUGGUCUGAGAGGAUGAUCAGGCACACUGGAACUGAGACACGGUCCAGACUCCUACGGGAGGAAGGAGUGGGGAAUAUUGGACAAUGGGCGAAAGCCUGAUCCAGCCAUGCCGCGUGGGGGAAGAAGGUCUUCGGAUUGUAAAGCACUUUAAGUUGGGAGGAAGGGCAGUAAGUUAAUACCUUGCUGUUUUGACGUUACCGACAGAAUAAGCACCGGCUAACUUCGUGCCAGCCGCCGCCGUAAUAC